CCUACGGGUGGCAGCAGUGAGGAAUAUUGGUCGAUGGGCGCGAGCCUGAACCAGCCAAGUAGCGUGAAGGAUGACUGCCCUACGGGUUGUACACUUCUUUUAUAAAGGAAUAAAGUGAGGCACGUGUGCCUUUUUGUAUGUACUUUAUGUAUAAGGAUCGGCUAACUCCGUUCCAGCAGCCGCGGUAAUACGGAGGAUCCGAGCGUUAUCCGGAUUUAUUGGGUUUAAAGGGAGAGUAGAUGGGUUGUUAAGUCAGUUGUGAAAGUUUGCGGCUCAACCGUAAAAUUGCAAUUGAUACUGGCAUACUUGAGUACAGUUGAGGUAGGCGGAAUUCGUGGUGUAGCGAUGAAAUGCUUAGAGAUCACGAAGAACUCCGAUUGCGAAGGCAGCUUACUAAACUGCCACUGACAUUGAUGCUCGAAAGUGUGGGUAUCAAACAGGAUUAGAUACCCUGGUAGUC
rnacentral:rRNA from 1 species